rnacentral:rRNA from 1 species
GAGUUUGAUCGUGGCUCAGAACGAACGCUGGCGGCAGGCUUAACACAUGCAAGUCGAGCGAAGACUUCGGUCUUAGCGGCAGACGGGUGAGUAACGCGUGGGAAUCUACCCAGUCCUUCGGAAUAGCUCCUGGAAACGGGAAUUAAUACCGAAUACGCCCUUUGGGGAAAGAUUUAUCGGGAUUGGAUGAGCCCGCGUAAGAUUAGCUAGUUGGUGGGGUAAUGGCCUACCAAGGCGACGAUCUUUAGCUGGUCUGAGAGGAUGAUCAGCCACACUGGGACUGAGACACGGCCCAGACUCCUACGGGAGGCAGCAGUGGGGAAUAUUGGACAAUGGGCGCAAGCCUGAUCCAGCCAUGCCGCGUGAGUGAUGAAGGCCUUAGGGUUGUAAAGCUCUUUCACCGGUGAAGAUAAUGACGGUAACCGGAGAAGAAGCCCCGGCUAACUUCGUGCCAGCAGCCGCGGUAAG